CAUCACAAUCACAUUUUUCUCCUUAGCGUUUUCUCUUGCGAUGCGCAAUGGCCACCCGACGACAACUUCACAUUUUCUCCCCGCAACCUUCUCUUUCGUGUGCCCCCAGCAGCCUUCUCUUUCGUGUGCCCCCAUCCCGACGACAGCCUUCUCCUUCGGUGUUUUCUCCCCGACGCGCAACGAUCACUCGACACUAGGAGUUCGAGCUAGAGGUCGUUGUCUCUAACAGAUUCAGUCCUGCAGCCCUAACAGCUCGUAUACCAGUUUGCAGCAUCAAAAAAUAAAGAGUACUACAAUCAAUCUCAGUAUGAUGAAGUCAGAAGUGAAUGGAGUGAAUUCGUCUACUUCUAUAUGGGUGCCUAAAUGUAGACUAUGAUAUAAAUUUUAGACAUGUAUUUAGAGAUUUUUGGAUACAAAAGUUUUUGGAUUAUGGUUAAACAUGUAUUUUAUGAAUACACUUUUGGAUUGUAUUUGAUACAUAUUUGUGAUAUAUUUGUUUAAUUUUGUUGGUCUAAA